UUGGUCGUGAUAUUCACGUGAUCACCUGCAAGACUUCCGGUAUAGCUGUUUGUUAAGAUUUCACGGAAAGCUUAUGCGAAAAGCAUAAAAGUACUUAAUAGCUGCAGAUAUGGUCUGACUGAUUAUAAAAGCGAGCGUCUACGUGGUGAGGAAGAUCCGGGCAGCCGUUGCUGGAACAGAGCAACAGGAUGAGCCCAUUACGACGCCAUGUAGUGCUAUCGCUGAAAAGAAAGCGGCACGCGCGCUGAAAGAACCACGGGAGUCCUUAAUGACGUCGGAAAACGAUGAAGUCAUCCGUGGUGAUGUGACCUCCACGAUGAGCGCCACUGUGCAGAAAUCUGGCUCCUGAUGUUAAAACUGAGAUCAUCAAUAUUAGAGUUGCCCCGAUCACAUAUUACCGAGUACCGAUCCGAAAACUCGCCAAUCUGUUAAAGUAUUUAAUGUUUAAUUGCAAAACAUUCAUUUUUUUGGAUUACUUUUGAUCAAUGGAAGGCAACAAGGUAAUACUUAAAAAUAUAGAGAAAUACAUUUUAAAUACCAGAUUUUUUCCCACCAGAUUCUGAUCUUCUAAAAUUAAAGUGUUCGGAUCAGGGACCACCAUAAUCAAUUAGACUUUUUUGGUUUGAAAGCAACAGCGAAUGAAUAACAAUGUAGGCGAAUACAAAUCUCAUAUUGGUCAUAGAAAAUUUUUACAAUGACCAUGCCGUGUUGUCGUUAAAACUUUACUUUCACCUUGCGCUAAGGUGUCGAACGUGUCUGUUGCAGCUUGUGAAGACUCAACUCGCAAACCUCUCCACAGAGGCUGAGUUGGUCUGAUGUGUUUUGCAAUGAUGGCAUCAAUAAAUGCAUAAAAGUA